CGGUGUUUAACUGGCGUGAUGUGGGACGUCCUACCGGUGGGCUUAGCCUCGCGAGGGGCGGCCCAACUAAUAUCCCGUCGCGGUGCUCUUUACUGAGUGUCGAGUCGGGCCGGUACGUUUACUUUGAACAAAUUAGAGUGCUUAAAGCAGGCUAUCCUCGCCUGAAUACUGCGUGCAUGGAAUAAUGGAAUAGGACCUCGGUUCUAUUUUGUUGGUUUUCGGAACCCCGAGGUAAUGAUUAAUAGGGACAGAUGGGGGCAUUCGUAUUGCGACGUUAGAGGUGAAAUUCUUGGAUCGUCGCAAGACGGACAGAAGCGAAAGCAUUUGCCAAAAAUGUUUUCAUUAAUCAAGAACGAAAGUUAGAGGUUCGAAGGCGAUCAGAUACCGCCCUAGUUCUAACCAUAAACGAUGCCAGCUAGCGAUCCGCCGAAGUUCCUCCGAUGACUCGGCGGGCAGCUUCCGGGAAACCAAAGCUUUUGGGUUCCGGGGGAAGUAUGGUUGCAAAGCUGAAACUUAAAGGAAUUGACGGAAGGGCACCACCAGGAGUGGAGCCUGCGGCUUAAUUUGACUCAACACGGGAAACCUCACCAGGCCCAGACACCGGAAGGAUUGACAGAUUGAUAGCUCUUUCUUGAUUCGGUGGGUGGUGGUGCAUGGGCCGUUCUUAGUUGGUGGAGCGAUUUGUCUGGUUAAUUCCGAUAACGAACGAGACUCUAGCCUGCUAAAUAGGCGUACCUUAUGGUAUCGCGAAGGCCCCCGGCUUCGGCCGGUGGGUUUUUACUACCAACGUACAAACAAAUCUUCUUAGAGGGACAGGCGG
rnacentral:rRNA from 1 species